UACGUAGGGGGCAAGCGUUGUCCGGAAUCAUUGGGCGUAAAGAGCGCGUAGGCGGCCCAGCAAGUCCGCUCUGAAAGUCAGGGGCUCAACCCCUGGAUGCGGGUGGAUACUGCUGGGCUAGAGUCCGGAAGAGGCGAGUGGAAUUCCCGGUGUAGCGGUGAAAUGCGCAGAUAUCGGGAAGAACACCCGUGGCGAAGGCGGCUCUCUGGGACGGUACUGACGCUGAGACGCGAAAGCGUGGGGAGCGAACAGG
rnacentral:rRNA from 1 species